UCUUUUAAGUUUUCAUAUGUUUUUGAUCGUUCUAAUUUAAAUUCUACUUUUGUGAUCUUGCACAGGUGUAUGAUAAUCAAUAAGUAACUCAUAGACGGGAACACCAUUACUGGUAAUUUUAUGGGAGAUUCUUCUUCUUCGUUUAUUUUUGUUCUCUUCCUCUCCAUGUUGUAUCUCUAUCUAUAUUUUUGCUUCAGUAGUGAUUCAACUAACAAAAAGAGACGACUCUGUUUAUCUAGGAACUGAUCAUCCCUUUCGAAAAAGGUAAUUUUUUUUAUAAAGUUAAAUCACUUAUCAAGAAUAUAAUAUAAGAUGUGUACGCUAAUCAAGUGUAAUUUAUUUAUUGUGCGUGAUCCUCUUCGGUACGUCUGAGAACCAAAGGUAAUCUCAAAGCUUUUUAAAAACUUUGAAACUCAUUGACGUUGUCAUAUCAAUUACAUAAUUUUUUUAUCUUUUGGGGAUUGUUUACAUCUUUAAAUAUUUUUGUUAGAAUUACCUCUUUUUUGACUCAAGGCUUAGAGAAGGAAACCGUAAAUCAUCUCUGCUGUUACAAUGAAACCAAUGAUAAUAAAUCUCAGGUAAUUCAGAUCUCUUUUUUAUAUUUCAUGGCUGAUUUUUUUAUUGGGGUUAUGCGUGAAAUAUUUAUUUUUUUUUUCUCAAUUAUACUUUUCUGAUGUUUUAAGAUUAGUGUUAAAUGUGAUCGUUUUAAGCAUAAUGCAUUUUCAGAACACACCUCCAUGAUAAACACUUCUAUGUAAAUUGUGUCAAUUAUGUUAGUGAUUUUGCAUUUGAGUAUUGUGACUGAUGUUCCAAGAGAGAAAGCGUAUCAUAUCAAACCGAGAUUGUUGGGAAAGGUAAUUGGUUUAUAGAUGUAAUUGGAUAAUUGACAUUUAAAAGAUAUAUUUUAUUAGAUAGUACCAAGCAGUCCUUUUAAACCUUUUGAACUCUAACUUUUUGAACUAACAGAAUAAUCAUGUUUAACAUAUAAAGCAGUUCAAAGAGUUAUGUAUCUAAAGGAUACGCUUUAUCAGAUAUAAAUGAUACGCUUUAUUAGAUAGUACCAAACAAUCCUUUUAAACUCAAACAAUGCCAUGUUCUGAGUUGUACACAUUGUAUUGACCUUUUUUUUCCUUGCGGUGUGUAUUCAGAUAGCAGUAGUGAAGUGAAGAUAUGAAGUAAUAUCAACCAAAAUUAAGAAAAGUCUUUUAAAAGCAGAGAUAAUCACAUGGGACUCUCUUGAACAUGGCAAACAACCAACAAUUUUGCCAGACCCGAAUUUCUUAAACAGAAGUUUCAAUGAGACCGGCUUAUCGUUCUUCCAAGAAAGUAAAGGACUAUGACAAGCUUGAAGCUGAAGUGAAGAAGAAUAGAAUGAUGAUAAGCUUGAAGGAGACGCUGCUUUGAACAAGUUCUUCCGUGAGAUAUAAUUGAAUUCUGAUGAGGAUAUGAGGAGUACUAGAGCAAAUCAUUUGUGAGUAUCUAUCUAUCUAUAUUCCUAUUUAGUUUUUCUUCUCUCAUGGAGACUACAAUGUUUUUGGCAUUUUGAUUGACUCUUUUGCAGUUUUGCACAAUCAACAGGUGGAAUCUAAUGGGAGAGUGCUUUCAAUAGACUGUAAAGAUGUUGGUGCUAAGAAAAUCUAGAGCACUCUUCAUGAUGAUCUGACGCUCAAGACAUGGGAAAUAUGAUCUUAUAUGAUGUGUGGGUUUUACCUUAAUCUAGACAGAACUCGAAGCCUUGGUCUUAAGGUCUGGUUUCUAUACUUUAUGGACUUAAGGUACUUUGUAUUUUCCAUAACUCAUAUUGUUUAUACGAAACACUGAAAUUUUUAAUCUAAACGUUCUAAUGUA